CCACUCUCAUUUCCUGGGUCUAUCCUCAUCUAUCCAAUUCCUAUGAAAAGUAGAAGAAGAAAAAAAAAAAAGCCCCCAUGACUAUAAUUUCAGCACUUUGGGAGGCCAAGGAGGGAGUCUGAGACCUGCCUGGGCAACAUAAGGAGACCCAUCUCUACAAAAGAUUUUAAAAAUUAACUGGGCGUGGUGGCACAUACCAAUAGUCCCAGCUACUGAGGAGGCUGAGGUGGGAGGUUUGCUUAACCUGGGAGGUCAAGACUGCAUGAGCACUGCUGCACUCCAGCCUAAGCAACACAGCAAGGCCCUGUCUCAUAAAAAUAAAGCUGCAGUGGCGGGGGGCGGGUGGAGGGAGGGAGGGAUCAAACAAACUAGGGACCAGCACUGACAUAAGAAAACUCAGUUAGAGAAAAGAAAAAAAAUGAACAAUAGCCUGAAUUUCAUCUUCUUAGCUUCUACCAGUGAUGGGGGGAGAAUUUGUGGUGAUACUAAAUGUCAACAGUGCACUCAGUUUGUCUGUGCUGUGUGUUAUUGGGGAGGGUUGGGUGACAGAGGCCAGAGUGCCAAACUCCUUUUCCUAAAUCCCCUAGCUUCCUUUAGCAACGAGAUCACCUGCCUGAUAGUUCCCUUCCCGUGCAAGUGGAGCGCCUGUUCCGAGCUUCUCAGGCUACCAAUUUCCUUCCAUUAUCCAUGCCCCAAAUUAACUCCCCUCUCCCUCUACUGCCUUCUUUUUUCUCUUCCAUCUUUCAUUUUACUCUAUCUCAAUCCUUCUCUACCUAACUCCUCAUCUUAAACGGAUCCCUGUAUUUUAAGAAACCCUUCUCCGUACUACCUCCACCACUGCGGAAGUCUUUCCAUUUGUAACCCUGUCCUCUGUGGCUUCCUCUAGCUUCUCACUUUAAUCAAACCUGGCUUUCUUUGAGAAGGUACUACAUUCUCAGCAGUUCUCUUUCUUUGAAAACUGCAUUUUUCUCAUACCCCUUCAUAAUAAACAAGGGGGUAGGCCUGUUUUUUAUUUCCCCAUGCACUUCCAUAAUAUGAAUGGACUGCCCUUUCCACUCCUGCACAUCACACACUACCCUUUGCAAUGAUGACUUUGAAAUAGAAGCUUCUGGAGGGGCACAGUGGCUCACGCUUGUAAUUCCAGGGCUGUGAGAGGCCAAGGCGGGUGAAAUUUCUUGAGGCCAGGAGUUUAAGACUAGCCUGGUCAACAGAGUGAAGCCCCAUCUCUACUAAAAAUACAAAAAUUAGCUGGGCAUGGUGGCCCAUGCUUGUAAUCCCAGCUAUUUGAGAGGCCGAGGCAGGAGGAUCACUUGAACCUGGGAGGUGAGGGCUGGAGGGAGCUGAGAUCGUGACACUGCACUCCAGCCUGGGUUAGAGUGAGACUUCAUCUCAAAACAAAACAAAACAAAAACAGUAGCUUCACUCCACAAAACUCCAAUCUUUGGAGUCCAAAUGGAUUGAUUUCUCCAGAAAUCAGAGAAUGUGAGAUAGGAGAACCCACUAUAAUUGAGAAGAAACAAAAAAUGCAGAACCUAAAAUUUCCAUUGUCAAAAUUUGCAUCAAAGUUAAACAGGCAAGGAAGAUUUUAAGACAAUUACAAUAGGAGAUUAAACUCAACUCUACCGAAACUAUUGUUUCCUCUUGGGGAGUUUUUAAGAGCUGCUGUAGGGGAAAUCACAUGACAUUUGUGUUUGCUAAUUGCAAAGGAAAAAGAAACUUUCUUUUAUCUUCAAAACAAGCUGUAGUUUUACAAUUCUGAACAAGGCACCCACAGGAGGUUAGGCUCCUACCCUCCCACAGAGACUGAGAGAUAAGGGUGCUAUCUUCCUUGAUGAUUACAUUUCAAAGGGAUGGCUCCCAGGUCCUUGAGAAAGACAUUCUUGGGUCGUAAAACUGGCAGGAAGCGUCUAAGGAGAUUUACAUACGUUUCAAAGGAGCAGAGAAUUUGCAAUCACAAGUUUUUCUAAAGUAAACACUGGAAGAAAGAGGAGGUGAAGGGCCUAACGUCCAAAAGAAACCUGUCUGAAGCUGUCAGGCUGAGGUGAGUGUUAAGGCUCUUUUGGUUACCAUGGAGAACAAGAACAAAGUGAGUACCUAUCUUUCCCCCUAGGGUCUCAGCUUCUUCUCCAAGUUUGAAAUUUCCUACCUCAAAGAGGAAAAAGGGAAGGAAAGGAAGAAAGGGAAAGGAGAAGAAAGACCGCUUUUUAAAAAGUUUUCUAGGAAAUCAUUUCUUAGCUUUACAUUUGCCCCGCACUGCUAGACGCUGAGAUUACAAACAAGACGCAGCGUUUCAGAACCUCAGUCUAGCAGGGCGAAGAACCAAUCACGGUAAGAGAAAGGGCAAGCGUUAUAGAAGGCCUACAGAAGUACUUUGGGGGCACAUGUAACAGCAGCUCACACUCACUAACCGCUUACACUGUAAGAGCUUUCCAUUUAAUCCUCGCGGAACCUUAUGAAGUGCUAGUAUUAUCUCAAUGUUAAGAUGCAAAAACGGAGACUCACAGAGGUCAAAUAGUCAAACUCCACAGCAUUGACAAUGGCAUAGAGGCCUGCGCCUAUCAUCCCAUAUACUCGGGAGGCUGAGACGGGAGGACUGCUUGACUCCAGCCUGCGGUAAGCUAUGAUCCCCCCACUGCACUCUAGCCUGGGCGACAGAACCAGACCUCAUCUCUUAAAAAAAAAAAAAAAAUUAAAGAAAUAAGAAAGAAAAGUAAUAAAUGGCAUAGCACCUGUUCCAGAGCCCGCACUCCUAAGGAGGUCCAGAACGGGGCAGGCUUUAUUCCGAGCAGGGAAUGUUGGCUGAGCCGUUAAAAAUGCGCAGGAGUUGUACGGAGGAAAAUUGGGGUGGAGGUUCGAUACCAGGGGCGAGUGAAAGUCCAGGCGAGAGGAAUCGCCUGCUUCGUCGCAGAACUGGUGCUGUCCACGUGGAUGGCGGGUGAGCUGGGCCCGGAAUGCUGGAAACGCCGAAUGACCUAGAACUGCGCUUUCAAGGGCGAGCACCGUCUCAUUCAAGGCCCUGGGCUCCCAGCGGGCCCGGGGCCGGGCGGGACGGACACGAACGGAGCUCGCACGGGAAGCCACGGUCCUGGCCGCGUCUCCGGCCCCGGUCCCUGGUCUCUGGAGGGCACAAACUGCCCCCACACUCUGCGAAAACUCCUGAAAAUGUAAUAACCAGAACCCACCCUGAAGCCGCACGGCACUUUCCGGUCCCCUUUCACGUCCCAGUGCAAAGCCACUUGUCGCCGGUGGGCAUGCGACCAAGCUCUGGGGUCACCAAGGCUCAGCCCAAAGGCCGAAAAUGUAGGAAGGGAACCCAGGAAUGGCCGUCCGCAAGGCUUGGCUGGGCCUUGGGCUCCCUCACACCAAAAGCCGAAGCGGACGCCAUGUUUCCAGGGCCGGCUACGCGACCCACGCCCCGACUACCCAACCCACGCCCCGACUACCCAAGAGGCUGUGGGGGCCCCUGACCUAAUUAGAACCUGGAGAGGAGAUAGGCGUGGCCCGCGCUGACAGCCUGUGACCAAUCAGCCUUCCUCGGCCUCCCGGACCGGGGCGGUGGCAGCCAAUGAGCGCCUUCUCCUUGGCCGCCACGCCCGCGCGGUAUUGCGGUAACCUGACAACCUCUGGGGAACACGAUCUAUUCUGGGGCACCAGUGCGGCUGCUCAGUCCAUCCAGCGGGAGAUGAGGACCUUGAGGCAGAGGAUCCCCUCCUGGCCGAGUGGCGUGGCUGAGAUGCUGCGCCCCAUUGGCGCAGGAUGGGAUGGGAGCGAAGCAGGGCUUGACGCAGACCUGAGCAGAGGACUCUGCCAAUGACAUCCCGCCUCCGCAGCUCCCAGCCUUGACCACGGAUCCGGGGCCUCGUUCUUUCGCAGUGAUAACCCCCACUUACAGCGCAUUGUCUAAGUGUUGAGUCCUCUUCCCGCCAUUGAACAAGUGUCCUUUGAGCUGCCUUACCUCCCCUUUCCAGAUGGAGUCUUGCUCUGUUGCCCACGCUGGAGUGUAGUGACACAAUCUCCACUCAUUGCAACAUCUGCCUCCUGGGUUCAAGCAAUUCUCCUGUCUCAGCCUCUUGAGUAGCUAGAAUUACAGGUGCCUGCCACUUUGCCUGGUUAAUUUUUGUAUUUUUAGUAGAGAUGGGGUUUCACCACGUUAGACAAGCUGGUCUCGAACUCCUAACCUCAGGUGAUCUGCCCACCUCAGCCUCCCGAAGUGCUGGGAAUACAGGUGUGAGCCUACGACGCCCAGCCUAAUUCUUAGUUUUUAAGAAUAAAGUUGAAACAAUGGACCUUUCUCUAGAGAAUGUACAUACUUAAGUGACUUUGCAUUCAAUUUCAAGGGGUUGUGGCCUCUGAAGUUUAAUUGUGACCCUUACCAAUGAGUCCCUGCUGAGGAGUCCCAGCUGAAACCCACUCACUAGAGAAGAGAAGAGGCCAGGAGGCACUUCAAAGGAGACACGCAAGAGGAGAGCAGGGAAUAGGGAGGGACAGGGACCUCCUACCUGUGCUGGAUCCUCGUGAGACGCUGGGUGCCCGGUGACUGAAUAAGGUUGAAGAAUUGCUUUUUCUGGAGAGAUUUUUAUCUAUCUGGGACUUGAGGGGCAAUGGCUAAAGAACUUCAAAGAGGCCCUAAGGGACUGAGGACAGUGGGCAUAACAAGGGGAACUGGAGUAGAGUCAAAGGUUAGAAGACUCUGCCAGAACUUUCUGCAGAGGCUAAAGAGCUAAACUGCCCUUGGCUUUUUUUGAGACAUGGUCUCACUCUGUUGCCCAGGCUGGAGUGCAGUGACACAAUCAUGGCUCACUGCAACCUCAAUCUCCUGGGCUCAAGUGAUCCUCCUACCUCAGCCUCCCAAGUAGCUGGGAUGAUAGGUGUGAGCCAUCGCAUCCACUCUAAGCUGCCCCUGGGAUUGAUGUCAAACUCUGGAGAAUCUGAGAUACAGGGAACCGGAAAGAGGCACAAGAAUGGAGCUGUGUGAGAGAACAGCUGUGGACAUCGGCUUCUUCCUCUGAAGGAACAGGUCCAGGAGGCCACCUUCUUGGUGCUGUUAGUAUAUUAGCACCCACUGGACUCUGGGAAGGGUCACUAACAAAAAUCUGAACUGCAAUUUCUACUUCCAACUAAGAAGAUGAAGAGCAACCCUAACUAAGGUUAUUUCCUUGUCAGGAUUCGUCUAGGUUCUCGAUUGGAUGUAUAAGGGAUCGCCCUCUCUGAAGAUCCGAAUAAGAAAGCAGUUAGCAAAGUGGUCUCCAUCUAGGGCUCUUUCAGUCAGACAGACCCGGGUUCAAGUCCUGACUCUGCCAAGUACUAGCCUGUGACCCUGAGCAUCUUAGAGUCCGUUUCUGAACUGUUACAGAAAUAUGAAAUAUUUCAUAAUACAGAAAUAUUAUGAAAUAAUAGGGCUAUUUCAUAGGGCUGCUGGGAGAUAAAAUUGGGUACAGUGUCUGGCACAUAGCUGAUGCUCCGUAAAUGAUAGCUGUCAUUGUUUUUCUUAGGAACUAUAAGAGGAACCUGUCUUCCAGUCCUCAGGGACACUUUCCCGCUUAGAUCCUUCAGCAGCUCCCUCUAGGGUCUCCAGCACACACUCCCUAGUCACUACAUAACUCAAGAUUCCUCUGGUCAGCCUAUGCGUACAGGACCGACUGUCCCCCAAGACCUUUUUGGCCCGUAGUUACAUGACAUUCAUGAUGACCAUUUCAUUUAUGAUGAAAAGGUCAUGCCAGCUUAGGAAUCUCACCAUUCCCCUUUCCUUGGUUCCAUCCAAUUCUAAAGAAUUAGAAUUCUGUAGAUAGAAUCAGGUAAGUAAAAUUAGAUGGAAUGCCUAAUAUCUAAUUCUAAAGACGGAUAAGGCUUCUUUAGAUGGGAAAAGGUUAUAUAAAAAGAAAUUUUCUAGAACCUUCCCUGGGUAGCUUUGUUUUCCCAGAGGAGCCAGUCACCCCCACCCUCCUAGUCCAAUAAAACUAUAAGGAAACUAUUUGCGCAAAA